rnacentral:antisense_RNA from 1 species
CUUCACCGUGCCCAGCCACAGUGGACGGUCCCGGUUCUGGCCGUAGGUCGCCAGCAACGCGUGUGCUUC